UACGUAGGGUGCGAGCGUUAAUCGGAAUUACUGGGCGUAAAGGGUGCGCAGGCGGUUAUAUAAGACAGAUGGGAAAUCCCCGGGCUCGACCUGGGAACUGCGUUUGUGACUGUAUGACUAGAGUACGGUAGAGAGGGGUGGAAUUCCUGGUGUAGCAGUGAAAUGCGUAGAUAUCAAGUGGAACACCAGUGGCGAAGGCGAAUCUCUGGACAUUUCCUGACGCUGAGGCACGAAAGCCAGGGGAGCAAACGGG
rnacentral:rRNA from 1 species